rnacentral:rRNA from 1 species
AUUGAACGCUGGCGGCAUGCUUUACACAUGCAAGUCGAACGGUAACAGGGUGCUUGCACCGCUGACGAGUGGCGAACGGGUGAGUAAUGCGUCGGAACGUGCCGAGUAGUGGGGGAUAGCGCAGCGAAAGUUGUGCUAAUACCGCAUACGUACUGAGGUAGAAAGUGGGGGACCUUCGGGCCUCACGCUAUUCGAGCGGCCGACGUCUGAUUAGCUAGUAGGUGAGGUAAAGGCUCACCUAGGCGACGAUCAGUAGCGGGUCUGAGGGGAUGGGCCGCCAAGCUGGGACUGGGACACGGCCCAGACUCCUACGGGAGGCAGCAGUGGGGAAUUUUGGACAAUGGGGGAAAGCCUGAUCCAGCCAUGCCGCGUGUCUGAAGAAGGCCUUCGGGUUGUAAAGGACUUUUGUCAGGGAGGAAAGGUCCUUUCUAAUACAAGGGGCUCAUGACGGUACCGUAAGAAUAAGCACCGGCUAACUACGUGCCAGCCGCCGCCGUAAUAC